rnacentral:rRNA from 1 species
GGGCGUAAAGCGCAUGCAGGUGGUUUGUUAAGUCAGAUGUGAAAGCCCGGGGCGUCAACCUCGGAAUAGCAUUUGAAACUGGCAGACUAGAGUACUGUAGAGGGGGUAGAAUUUCAGGUGUAGCGGUGAAAUGCGUAGAGAUCUGAAGGAAUACCGGUGGCGAAGGCGGCCCCCUGGACAGAUACUGACACUCAGAUGCGAAAGCGUGGGGAGCAAACAGGAUUAGAUACCCUGGUAG